GAUGAACGCUGGCGGCGUGCCUAAUACAUGCAAGUCGAGCGAACAGACGAGGAGCUUGCUCCUCUGACGUUAGCGGCGGACGGGUGAGUAACACGUGGAUAACCUACCUAUAAGACUGGGAUAACUUCGGGAAACCGGAGCUAAUACCGGAUAAUAUAUUGAACCGCAUGGUUCAAUAGUGAAAGACGGUUUUGCUGUCACUUAUAGAUGGAUCCGCGCCGCAUUAGCUAGUUGGUAAGGUAACGGCUUACCAAGGCAACGAUGCGUAGCCGACGUGAGAGGGUGAUCGGCCACACUGGAACGGGGACACGGUCCAGACUACUACGGGAAGCAGCAGUAGGGAAUCUUCCGCAAUGGGCGAAAGCCUGACGGAGCAACGCCGCGUGAGUGAUGAAGGUCUUCGGAUCGUAAAACUCUGUUAUUAGGGAAGAACAAAUGUGUAAGUAACUAUGCACGUCUUGACGGUACCUAAUCAGAAAGCCACGGCUAACUACGUG
rnacentral:rRNA from 1 species